ACUUUUAAAGGAUAAAAGUCAUCCGCUGGCUAUAGGCGCC
rnacentral:tRNA from 1 species